rnacentral:rRNA from 1 species
AGUGGGGAAUAUUGCGCAAUGGGCGAAAGCCUGACGCAGCGACGCCGCGUGAGGGAUGAAGGCCUUCGGGUUGUAAACCUCUUUCAGCAGGGACGAAGCCGCAAGGUGACUGUACCUGCAGAAGAAGCACCGGCUAACUACGUGCCAGCAGCCGCGGUAAUACGUAGGGUGCAAGCGUUGUCCGGAAUUAUUGGGCGUAAAGAGCUCGUAGGCGGUCUGUCGCGUCGGAUGUGAAAACUCGGGGCUCAACCCCGAGCCUGCAUUCGAUACGGGCAGACUAGAGUUCGGUAGGGGAGACUGGAAUUCCUGGUGUAGCGGUGAAAUGCGCAGAUAUCAGGAGGAACACCGGUGGCGAAGGCGGGUCUCUGGGCCGGAACUGACGCUGAGGAGCGAAAGCGUGGGGAGCGAA